UGGGAGCCAUGUUGCGUUUGAGAGAGAGAGGGAAAGGGAGGAGUGGGGGAGAAAGAGUUUGAUUGCGGGAUUGACGGAUUGAGGAACUUUUCUGCUUUUCUACUUUUCAAAUCUUUACAAUUUUUUACGUCAAUCGAUUCCGUCUUCUUCACUUUACCUUUCAUUUUGGUCUUGUCCCUCACAAAUCUCUGCUUCUGUCCGUCUUCAUUUCACUCUCUUCCUCUCAAAUCUUGUGUUCUUUUUUUCACAUAAUAGUCACGAGCAAAUCUGGUUUUGGUUUAUUUAGAGAUUUUGUUUCCAAUCUCCAUUUGGUGCCUUGCUUAGAUUGGCUCUGCACUCAUCAUCGACGACUCUACCUUCACGAAGGACUCCGCAAAUCCCAAGACCAAUAAAGGGGUUUCUCAAUCUUUUGUCUAGACUGAAGAAAAGGCGGAUGGAGCUCUCGAAAAUUUUAGAUUCGAGAAAAGAGAAAGGUACAGAUCUGCACCUCUGUCUAUAUCGAAGUCCAAAUAGGAUGGAUCUAUGAAACUAUGAAAGCAAAUAUGUGAAUAACAUUUUUUGUGUGAAAGCCUUAAAAUGGAGACAAAAAAGGAAUGAUGGCAAACAUGAAGAGGGCUCUGGUGCGAGGAUCUGCUGCGGCGGCUUUAAAUAAUGAUAAAGGUGCUUUUAGAAGGUUUUAGUGCACUUCAAGGGAUCUCGGGCUCACAAAAAUUUCUGAUGCACAAGGUGUAGAUCACUUGUCAUAUGCACAUACUUGGUAACUUCGACUCCCAUGUCAUC